GAUGAACGCUGGCGGCGUGCCUAAUACAUGCAAGUCGAGCGAACGGACGAGAAGCUUGCUUCUCUGAUGUUAGCGGCGGACGGGCGAGUAACACGUGGAUAACCUACCUAUAAGACUGGGAUAACUUCGGGAAACCGGAGCUAAUACCGGAUAAUAUUUUGAACCGCAUGGUUCAAAAGUGAAAGACGGUCUUGCUGUCACUUAUAGAUGGAUCCGCGCUGCAUUAGCUAGUUGGUAAGGUAACGGCUUACCAAGGCAACGAUGCAUAGCCGACCUGAGAGGGCGAUCGGCCACACUGGAACUGAGACACGGUCCAGACUCCUACGGGAGGCAGCAGUAGGGAAUCUUCCGCAAUGGGCGAAAGCCUGACGGAGCAACGCCGCGUGAGUGAUGAAGGUCUUCGGAUCGUAAAACUCUGUUAUUAGGGAAGAACAUAUGUGUAAGUAACUGUGCACAUCUUGACGGUACCUAAUCAGAAAGCCACGGCUAACUACGUG
rnacentral:rRNA from 1 species